rnacentral:rRNA from 1 species
UACAUGGGGUGCAAACGUUGCUCGGAAUUAUUGGGCGUAAAGCGCGCGUAGGCGGUUACUUAAGUCGGAUGUGAAAGCCCUCGGCUUAACUGAGGAAGUGCACCCGAAACUGAGUAGCUAGAGUACGAAAGAGGGUCGCGGAAUUCCCGGUGUAGAGGUGAAAUUCGUAGAUAUCGGGAGGAACACCGGUGGCGAAGGCGGCGACCUGGGUCGAGACUGACGCUGAGGAGCGAAAACGUGGGGAGCAAACAGG